GUGGGGAAUAUUGGACAAUGGGGGGAACCCUGAUCCAGCCAUGCCGCGUGUGUGAAGAAGGCCUUUUGGUUGUAAAGCACUUUAAGCGAGGAGGAGGCUACCGAGAUUAAUACUCUUGGAUAGUGGACGUUACUCGCAGAAUAAGCACCGGCUAACUCUGUGCCAGCAGCCGCGGUAAUACAGAGGGUGCAAGCGUUAAUCGGAUUUACUGGGCGUAAAGCGCGCGUAGGGGGCCAAUUAAGCCAAAUGUGAAAUCCCCGAGCUUAACUUGGGAAUUGCAUUCGAUACUGGUUGGCUAGAGUAUGGGAGAGGAUGGUAGAAUUCCAGGUGUAGCGGUGAAAUGCGUAGAGAUCUGGAGGAAUACCGAUGGCGAAGGCAGCCAUCUGGCCUAAUACUGACACUGAGGUGCGAAAGCAUGGGGAGCAAACAGGAUUAGAAACCCUUGUAGUCC
rnacentral:rRNA from 1 species